UUUUGGAGUUGGCUGCCACGGGUGUCCAGAGCGGCUGCCCAUCCUUGGAACUCUGUAAAGUGGCUUUUUUACGCCAUUCAAGAGAGUGAGGUAUUCUUGGGAACAGAGGGGAACCCAUUAUCUUGGGCCUUUCUUCAUUGGAAGGAGAACCUUGGACCCCUCUCAGGGAUAACCAUUUGAGCUCAACAGAUUAUCUAAGGGGAGAGGGGGUUGCAAGGAGGAAAAACGCGAAAAAAGGGGAGUCAGCCACAAGGAGCAUCACUCAUCAGUAAAAGAAACAAGAGACAUCACUUCGGACAGGGGAGGGAGCAACUUUGUUGAAAAAGAAAGCCAACCAAAGAGAGGAGAAGGAGAACUCAGGAGAAACGUCUAAAAGCUGCGGAGGCGAUUCUGGAGUCAAGGGUUACCUAUCUGACCGAUCAGUUUCAUGAUUAGAGCAAGAAAUCCCCUCAGUUGACCACCUUGACCAGAUUCAAAAAACUGACCAUUUUUUACUCAAGAUGACGCGCCAAUGAGUGCCCGCCACGUGUCAAUCCACUUCCACCCAAAAUUAGGGUUUGUGAUAUUGGGGAAAGGCUUCCCCCUCUGCCUGCGCCGCGAAUUGGUUUUCUAAUGCAGGUCCGAUAUGAAGCGGCGCGGAGAAGUUGGACCGGCCGUGAGCAUAGGUGGCACGAUUCUGGAUGUGCGUGAUGGAGGUCACGGCGUAGUUGCGGAUGGUGCGGUGUAGAUCUUGCGUCAAUGGAGAAGAGGACGGUGAAAUUUGUGCGACGACAGUGAGAUGAUGGUGAUGCGAAGAUGAACUCGUGGAUGGCGGCUAGAAAGUCGCGCCUUGGUGGUGGCUUGGGUGUGCGCGAGGCUGACCUCGGAGCAGCUCGCAUUUGGGUGUUAAUGGUGGAGGAUAGCAGCGGCUUCAUGGCGGCCUUGCAGCGACAUGCGCAUGGUGUCCGGCGGCGUUGCACAGGAGGAGGCUCGCGAGGAUGAAGAUGGUGGUCGACGACGUGGUUGUUUGGAUCUGCGGCGCUGUGGUGGCGGGAGUGGUGGUCCGUUGAUGUGCCGGCGAGAAAGGAGGAGAUGAACGGUGGUCGUGGAGGUUGCGCGACAGCGGCGGACAAGGGUGGUCACGCGAUGGUGGCGGAGCGGCGCGCCAAGGUUGAUCGUCGGUGGAGGACGAUUUGGGAAUUAGGGUUUCUGGGAAGAUGAUGAUGAUGUGGCAAAGGGGAAUGAUUUGACAACAUGUGGUUGGUCUAUUUGGUAUGCAGAGGAAUAAUGACGUGGCAGUUUCUUAAUGGUUAGAUCUGUGUGUAGAGGAUUUGGACACGUGGCAUAAUCUGGUGGAGUUUGGCUUAGGAGGGGUAUGAACAGGAAACUUAGGGAAGUGUAGUAGAAAAAGGCUAGUGUUUGGGCUUGGUUGUUGGCCUGUUUCAGAAAUAGGAGUGUAUGUAGGGAAUUUAGGAGGUGUAAGGGUAAAGUAUGUCUGUUUGGCCCAUCUGUACAUUAUUUUCCAAAUAAAACCUGAUUUUGGUCCUUGAAUUGCCAUUUGGACCAAUAGAACUUAUAAUUUCAACUGCACAAAUAAACGUAAGAACAUGCAAUAAUAUUUUAUACGCUAAAACUCACUUUUUACGUCUCUUUAAUUCUCAAACCCAACAAUUCCAAUAAUCAUAAAUCCUCUUUAAAUCAAUCAUUCAAGCACAUGAAUUUCAUCAAAAAUUUAAUUUUAAAGCAUAAAUGUGGGCAUAAAUAUGCACUCAUCAAGAGUCUUAAUAGGUUAUUUGGGACUUGUUAGAGUCCCUAAGUUGCUUGAAAUUGUGCCACAAAUGGUAGAAUUCAAUUGGAGUCUCUAAGUUGAUGUUUUGAAGGUUUUUGGGUUGAUAUCUUGUAGUCACUUGUUUAGAAUGAGUUUAGACACACUUGGUUUAGUAUAAUUAAGUAUAUAACACACUCUAGGAGGAUUAGAAGUUGGGGAAAAUAUUUACAUUUGGUAAAUUUGGUGAAGGUUGCAUAAUUAUGUAGUUUGGUGCUGCAGAAUUAUGCAGACUCCCUAGGCGAGUAGAGUCACUCAACAAGUGGCUGUAAGGUCUAACACACUGUAUAUGCAUUCUCCUAGUGAGUCGGGUCGAUGGGCGAGUGGUUGAAGGGUUUGGGCCAUAGUUUCAGGAUUCGCCUAGCGAGUUAGGUUGCUGAGCGAGUAAGUUGGGGGUCUGGACCACUGUCUCAAGUCUCUCUUAGGGAGCUGGGUCGCUAAGCGAGAGGUUGAGGUCUGGGGAACACUGUUUGUGUAUUCGCACAACAAGUUGGGUCACUGAGCGAAAGGAUUAUGUGGUCGCCCAACGAGUGUGGUCGCUGAGCGAUUGAUCUAGGUUAGUUUUACUCUUUCCUUCUUUGUUCUUGAUUGAUCAAGAUUAUGCUUUGAUUUAUUUAGAAUGAUGUAUGAUUAUGUAUGAGUUUUUAUGUGUAUCAAAGUUAUGAGUUGUGAUUCAAAGUGAAAGUAUGGUUUCAAAGUGGUGAAGUAAGUUCCAAAGUGAAUCCUCUUGGUGAGGUUCAAGUAUGUUUCU